GGGAUAACAUGAUUUUGUUAAUUAAUUGAUCCUUAAAUAUUCAUGAUAAAGAGACCCAAUGGCCUGUGAUGGGAUGUUAGAUGGGGUGGGAUCUGAGUUACUACAGAAAAUUCUUUCCCGGUGUCUGGCUGGCGAAUCUUGCCCAUAUGAUCAGGGUUUAGCUGGUUGCCAUAGUUGGA